AUUGAACGCUGGCGGCAGGCCUAACACAUGCAAGUCGAACGAGUGGCGGACGGGUGAGUAAUGUCUGGGAAACUGCCUGAUGGAGGGGGAUAAAUACUGGAAACGGUAGCUAAUACCGCAUACCAUCCGAUGUGGCCAGAUGGGAUUAGCUAGUAGGUGGGGUAAAGGCUCACCUAGGCGACGAUCCCUAGCUGGCCUGAGAGGGUGACCGGCAACAUGGGAACUGAGCCAGGGUCCAGAUCCCUCCGGGAGGCAGCAGGGGGGAAUAUUGCAAAAUGGGCGCAAGCCGGAUGCAGCCAUGCCGCGUGUAUGAAGAAGGCCUUCGGGUUGUAAAGUACUUUCAGCGGGGAGGCGUUACCCGAAGAAGAAGCACCGGCUAACUCCGUGCCAGCAGCCGCGGUAAUAC
rnacentral:rRNA from 1 species